UACAGAGGUCUCGAGCGUUAGGCGGAAUCACUGGGCUUAAAGCGUGUGUAGGCGGAUCGUUAAGUGCCUUGUGAAAUCCCACAGCUUAACUGUGGAACUGCUUGGUAUACUGCUUAUCUUGGGCCACUUAGGGGUUACCGGAACAAACGGUGGAGCGGUGAAAUGCGUAGAUAUCGUUUGGAACGCCAAUGGUGAAAACAGGUAACUGGGGAGUGUGCCGACGCUGAGACACGAAAGCCAGGGGAGCGAACGGG
rnacentral:rRNA from 1 species